rnacentral:rRNA from 1 species
UACAGAGGGUGCAAGCGUUAAUCGGAAUUACUGGGCGUAAAGCGUGCGUAGACGGUUAUGUAAGUCAGAUGUGAAAGCCCCGGGCUCAACCUGGGAAUUGCAUUCGAGACUGAAUAGCUAGGGUACGGUAGAGGGAAGUGGAAUUUCCGGUGUAGCGGGUGAAAUGCGUAGAUAUCGGAAGGAACAUCAGUGGACGAAAGCGACUUCCUGGACCAGUACCGACGUCAGGCACGAAAGCGUGGGGAGCAAACAGG